GAUGAACGCUGGCGGCGUGCUUAACACAUGCAAGUCGAACGGAAAGGCCCAAGCUUGCUUGGGUACUCGAGUGGCGAACGGGUGAGUAACACGUGGGUGAUCUGCCCUGCACUUCGGGAUAAGCCUGGGAGACUGGGUCUAAUACCGGAUAGGACCACUUCUUGGAUGUUGUGGUGGAAAGUUUUUUCGGUGUGGGAUGAGCUCGCGGCCUAUCAGCUUGUUGGUGGGGUAAUGGCCUACCAAGGCGUCGACGGGUAGCCGGCCUGAGAGGGUGUACGGCCACAUUGGGACUGAGAUACGGCCCAGACGCCUACGGGAGGCAGCAGGGGGGAAAAUUGCACAAUGGGCGCAAGCCUGAUGCAGCGACGCCGCGUGGGGGAUGACGGCCUUCGGGUUGUAAACUCCGUUCGCUAGGGACGAAGCGUUUUGUGACGGUACCUGGAGAAGAAGCACCGGCUAACUACGUG
rnacentral:rRNA from 1 species